rnacentral:rRNA from 1 species
AUGGAAACAAAGCGUGUAGCCAUCGUCGGCGCCGGCGUGAGCGGCCUGGCGGCGUGCAAGCACCUGCUGGAGCGCGGCUGCCGGCCGGUCGUCUUCGAGGCCGACACCGUCCUGGGCGGCGUGUGGGCGCACCCGCCGGAGUGCACCGCGCUGCAGACGCCGCGGCCCAUGUACCAGUACUCCGACUUCCCGUGGCCGGAGUCCGUGACGGAGGUCUUCCCGGACCACCGCCAGGUCAUGGACUAUCUCGACGCCUACGCGCGCCAUUUCGGUGUGCUCGACUGCGUCAGGUUCGGCCACCGGGUGCUCGGGAUGGAGUACGUUGGCGUCAGCGAGGAGAAGCUGGCGGCGUGGGAGGAGUGGGGCGGGAGCGGCGAGGCGUUCGGCUCUGGCGAUGGCGAGUGGCGACUCAAGGUGGCCAGCGGCGAUGACCACGUCGAGACACACGUUGUAGAUUUCGUGGUCCUUUGCAUUGGGAGGUUUAGUGGUGUGCCCAACAUACCCGAGUUUCCCCCCGGAAGAGGUCCAGAAGCAUUUGAUGGGAAGGUGAUCCACUCAAUGGACUAUUCCAAAAUGGGCAGCACGAAAGCUAAGGAGAUGAUCGCGGGCAAGCGUGUGACCGUAGUUGGGUACCUAAAAUCAGCACUCGACAUUGCUGCUGAAUGUGCAGAAGUGAAUGGCACGGAGCAACCGUGUACGAUGAUAGUCCGAACAAAGCAUUGGAUCAUACCUGACUACUACGCUUGGGGUGUUCACAUAUCAAAGUUGUAUCUGAACCGCUUCUCUGAACUCCUUAUUCACAAGCCCGGUGAAGGUUUCCUCCUGAGCCUCUUGGCCACCACCUUGACUCCAUUGCGGUGGAUAUUUUCAAAGUUCGCUGAGAGCUACUACUCCAUUCCAAUGAAGAAGUAUGACAUGGUACCUGACCAUAGCCUUUUUGAGGCGUUGGUGACAUGCUUGAUUGCCAUCACGCCCAAAGAUCACUACAAGAGACUAGAGGAAGGUAGCAUUAUUCUCAAGAAGUCCAAGACCUUUAGCUUUUGCAAGGAAGGUGUGCUUCUUGAAGGUGAAUCUUCAUCGACAAAAAGCGAUAUAGUGAUCUUUGGAACUGGAUUCAAGGGGGAUCAGAAGAUCAAGGAUAUGUUCACAUCAGAAUACUUUCAGAAGAUUGCGAUUGGGUCAACAUCCACAACUGUGCCUCUUUACAGGGAAUGCAUCCAUCCUAAGAUUCCGCAGCUCGCAGUCAUCGGAUAUUCAGAGAGCUUAGCAAACCUGUACACAACAGAACUUCGGGUCAAGUGGCUAACACACUUCAUGGAUGGUGGCUUUAGAUUACCAUCUGUUCAAGCAAUGCAAAGGGAUGUCCUUGAGUGGGACAAGUUCAUGAAAAGCUAUUCUCGUGGCUACUUCCGUAGGUCCUGCAUUGGAAUCCUUAACAUUUGGUACAACGACCAACUAUGCAAGGAUAUGGGGUGCAAUCCUAGAAGGAAGAACGGCUUUUUCGCAGAGUUGUCGGAGGUUUAUGGUCCUGGUGAUUAUGUCAACCUCCACCCCAAAUAA